AUAAAAAUAAAUAAAUAAUGUAAAUUUGUACAAAAAUUAGGAGGACAUUAUAAUGUGAUGGAAGGGCGAGUAUCAAAAUCCCUAGAGAAGUUGUCAAGUCUUCCAUCUUCAUGAAUUAGAUUUGUGGAGCCAAUGAAUAGCGCAAGCGACUAAAGCUUACUUCUAGAUCAGAAGUUUUCGUUUGCAUUUAAGCGUCUUCAUUGUACUGCGAAUCCUAUCUGCUGUAUGUUACGAAUCGAUAGCAAUGCAUCCUUUUCCCGGGAAAAUGGUGUAAGAGAAUGAGUUCCAACCUCCUGACUUAAUGCAAAUUUCAAAAUCGCACGUUCGCGUAUCGCCGAAAGAUGCGCAGUAUUUUUUGAAAUGAAUUGUUGUGCUUGCGAUUUUCCGACCGAUUAUAUAAGGGAAUCGCUACUAAGACGAUGCUUUGUUCGUGCGGAAUAUUUGCUAGGAACUUUUACUUUUAUGGCCUACCAGAAGAAUCGGUUCAUAGCAAAGCAGACAAUUCUUUCAAAAAUCUGAACGUAGAAGUUCCUCCGGGGAUACGCUACUUGCAUGCGACUUGCGCUAUUAGCCACAAAAAUGUUGAAGUUGGACGAGUCGAAUACGACCAGUAUUGAAUUUAUAUGUUAUUUGGCUAGUGAAUUGACAACAUUGCUUAGAAUUUUGCUACAAAUAAAAAUAAGCUCGCGCACAAAUUUUGCAUAAAUGAAACGCGAUCCUUUUUGUAAGAUGUACAUCUU